rnacentral:misc_RNA from 1 species
AAGAUGGUUACUCUGAUGGUAAGAGUUGUUUGCUGUUAAUUGUCAUUUUCUUUGUCUUUUACUAGUCAUGAGAUAUUAUAUUUUGUUCUGCAUUGUCAACAUAAUUUUCCUUUACAUUGACUAAUAAUUUACUAGUUAGGUUAUUGUCUGAUUAAUUAGUGUUCUGGUAUUCAUGUUAUGAAUGACACAAAUAUUUUAUAUCUAUUUCUUCUGCCCAAGUUCUUGAGCAUGUUCCUUGUUGUGUUUAUGAUAUGCGAGCAAACUAUGAAAAUGCAAAAAUAGAAACAUGUGGUUAGUCUAAUGUAGAAUGUAGAGUUGUUGGGCUUCUUUGUAUCUUUACAAUGUUAGCCCAGUUGUACAAAGAAAUGUGAUUACUUGAGAAAGCCUUUGAACGGAGAAGACAAAUGUAAUUUGCUAUGGUGAUACACAAUUUACAUCAAACAUUUAAUAGGAAAGUCAUUAAUUUAAUGCCCAAUUGACGUGGCAUGUCACACGAAAAAGGAUCGACACAUGAUCAA